UACGUAGGGUGCAAGCGUUAAUCGGAAUUACUGGGCGUAAAGCGUGCGCAGGCGGUUCUGUAAGACAGAUGUGAAAUCCCCGGGCUCAACCUGGGAACUGCAUUUGUGACUGCAUAGCUAGAGUACGGUAGAGGGGGAUGGAAUUCCGCGUGUAGCAGUGAAAUGCGUAGAUAUGCGGAGGAACACCGGUGGCGAAGGCGGCAUCCUGGACCAACACUGACGCUGAGGAGCGAAAGCGUGGGGAGCGAACAGG
rnacentral:rRNA from 1 species